CAGUAGCCGCGGGAAAACGUAGGGUGCAAGCGUUAAUCGGAAUUACUGGGCGUAAAGCGUGCGCAGGCGGUGUUGUAAGACUGAUGUGAAAUCCCCGGGCUCAACCUGGGAGCUGCAUUGGUGACUGCAACGCUGGAGUGCGGCAGAGGGGGGUGGAAUUCCGCGUGUAGCAGUGAAAUGCGUAGAUAUGCGGAGGAACACCGAUGGCGAAGGCAAUCCCCUGGGCCUGUACUGACGCUCAUGCACGAAAGCGUGGGGAGCAAACAGGAUUAGAUACCCCAGUAGUCCCUGUCUCUUAUAC
rnacentral:rRNA from 1 species